rnacentral:lncRNA from 1 species
GCUUGAAAAGUGCCUACCCCUGGCCUGGGAUGCUUCCUCCUGGGAUGCUCCCACUUGGAACCCAACUAUUGUGCUGCAGAAGUUUAACUUAACUGUGUAAGGAGGCCAAGAGGAGGCCCUGGCUGCCAGCCAGCAUCAACUUCCAGUGACGUGAGUGUGCCAUUCUGGAACUGGAUCCUGCAGCCUCGGUGGAGCAGCCUCAGCUGAUGCCAUGUGGAACAGAGAUGAACUGCCGCUGCCGAGCUCUGCCCACGUUGCAGAAUCAUGAGCAAAUAUGUUGUGGAUUGGCUGUAACUCUGCUCUGGGAUCCAGGCUGAAGGAGCAGGCUCUAUCUGGAACAUUACUAGUCUCCAGGCAGAAGAAAAAGAGACAAUGGAAUGGAUGAUUGAAUGGAUGAAUGAACUCCACAGGAAGAUGAGGAAAGCCUUUAUGGAUGGAGUGAGCUUGCAGCAGAGUCUCAAAGGGCCUACCUGGAAUGCCAUGCUCCCUCACCGCCAAUGCUGCCCUACCAAAUUCAGCCCAUAGACCUUCAAAAACCAAUUCAAAUCUCCAAGAAUCCAAGUCAGAAGAAAUUGCUGCCUCCUCUGAAUAAUUAUUGCUGACACUGAUUGCACUCUGUGCUUAUUGCUCAGUCCUUUGAGUUAUCUCGUCAAUAUUUCCCAUUUGUCCUAUAUCCAUCCCCACCUAGGAAUGAAUGGGACUUCAUGAUUCUGUCUUUCUAGUAUUAGAUGUCUUGCUCAGUAAAAAAUGUUUACUGUCUUGUAAAUUAAUUUAAAUAUAUGGUAAAAUAAUAUAGGGGUCUCUGGAAAGAUGGAAAUUGUUUGUUAUUGUUUUUGAGACGGAGUCUCACUCUGUUGCCCAG